AUCUAGCUGACGAGUCGCAAAUAGGAGAAAACGUACGUUCUGUAU
rnacentral:hammerhead_ribozyme from 1 species